GUAAUACUUAGGAAUCUACCUAGUAGUGGGGGAUAGCUCGGGGAAACUCGAAUUAAUACCGCAUACGACCUACGGGAGAAAGGGGGCAACUUGUUGCUCUCGCUAUUAGAUGAGCCUAAGUCGGAUUAGCUAGAUGGUGGGGUAAAGGCCUACCAUGGCGACGAUCUGUAGCUGGUCUGAGAGGAUGAUCAGCCACACCGGGACUGAGACACGGCCCGGACUCCUACGGGAGGCAGCAGUGGGGAAUAUCGGACAAUGGGGGAAACCCUGAUCCAGCCAUGCCGCGUGUGUGAAGAAGGCCUUUUGGUUGUAAAGCACUUUAAGCAGUGAAGAAGACUCUUCGGUUAAUACCCGGAGACGAUGACAUUAGCUGCAGAAUAAGCACCGGCUAACUCUGUGCCAGCAGCCGCGGUAAUACAGAGGGUGCAAGCGUUAAUCGGAAUUACUGGGCGUAAAGCGAGCGUAGGUGGCUUGAUAAGUCAGAUGUGAAAUCCCCGGGCUUAACCUGGGAACUGCAUCUGAUACUGUCAGGCUAGAGUAGGUGAGAGGAAGGUAGAAUUCCAGGUGUAGCGGUGAAAUGCGUAGAGAUCUGGAGGAAUACCGAUGGCGAAGGCAGCCUUCUGGCAUCAUACUGACACUGAGGCU
rnacentral:rRNA from 1 species